UGAAGAUGGCAGCUGCCUAGUUUGAGGCCUGGAGGAACAGAGAGCUGACAGCCCCACUCCUCAGGGUGCUGUCAGAGAUAAGCAGUCAGUUCCUCCCAUCUCCCUGGUCUCCGGCCCCGCUCUGAGCUCACCCAGCCUGUGACUGAGCAUUUCUAUCUCUGGCACAUGGCCCUGUUUGGAGUCUCCAGACCCAGCAGAUUCCUGCUGCACUUUUCCUCCUGGGAAGGAAGGUGAAUCUCCCUGGAUCUGCCCCUCAUGGGUCCCUGAUCCAGGAGCAGUGGCCCAACUGCCUCAUAUCAAGGUAUAUCCACAACCGGCAUUAGUGGGUAUAUGUGUGUCCAGAUGCCAAGAAUUUAUUGAAGUCAUUGCAUGAAGGUGUAUCAGUUUUGUGACAAUGUCUAAAGAUGUUCGGUGCCCAACUUGAUAUCAACAGUGAAUAUUAAUUCCUGACAGGCACCCCUGCAGACAUUAAAGCUUCUCGUAAGUUUGGAGUGACUAAAUCCUGGUCAUGAUCCAGCUGAAGAGAGAGGAUGCCUUCUGGAGAGAUGGAUCCUUCCCAUUUCUCCUUUCCACUGUGUGGGAGAUCCUCCAAUAAGAAACCACUCAACGUACCUACCACUCCUAUGUCAGAGAGAAAUAAACUCAAUAAAAGUACCAGGUGAAAAUAUUCUGGAAGAUGAUAAUUGACCAAAGAUGAGUCAGAGAGGGUAUGAUGGAGACCAAGGAAGACAUGAAAGAUGAAGGCAAAAAGAGAAGAGGAGAUCAUUGAAGCCUGGUGUC